rnacentral:snRNA from 1 species
GUGCUCACUUUGGCAGCACAUAUACUAAAAUUGGAACAAUAUAGAGAAGAUUAGCAUGGCCCCUGUGCAAGGAUGACAUGCAAAUUCGUGAUGCAUUCCAUAUUUUU